rnacentral:rRNA from 1 species
GACGAACGCUGGCGGCGUGCUUAACACAUGCAAGUCGAACGGAAAGGCCUCUUUCGGGGGGUACUCGAGUGGCGAACGGGUGAGUAACACGUGAGUAACCUGCCCUUGACUUUGGGAUAACUUCAGGAAACUGGGGCUAAUACCGGAUAGGAGCUCCUGCUGCAUGGUGGGGGUUGGAAAGUUUCGGCGGUUGGGGAUGGACUCGCGGCUUAUCAGCUUGUUGGUGGGGUAGUGGCUUACCAAGGCUUUGACGGGUAGCCGGCCUGAGAGGGUGACCGGCCACAUUGGGACUGAGAGACGGCCCAGACUCCUACGGGAGGCAGCAGUGGGGAAUAUUGCACAAUGGGUGGAAGCCUGAUGCAGCAACGCCGUGUGCGGGAUGACGGCCUUCGGGUUGUAAACCGCUUUCGCUCAUGACGAAGCUUUGUGUGACGGUAGUGGGUAAAGAAGCACCGGCUAACUACGU